GUCACAACCAAGACCUCUAAUCAGGAGGCAAGAGGAACUAACUUUGUCCUCAGUUAUCAUUCUUAUCAGGAAGAGCCCUUCUGGGGAAGCUAGAAUAAAGACUGUAAUUAAACUCCACCUGUUUUCAAGAUGCUGCUGAGAAGAUGAUGGCUUUCAGUCGUCUAGGAUCCACGAAAGGCUGCUCAUAUCUGCAAAAUUACAACUACAGCGGAGACUGCUGUUAUUAAUUCAUAACCACCAAAGUGGUCAUCAUCAUCAUCACCACUGAAGUAAUAUUCACUGAUAACACUAAAUGAGGAUCCUCUAGAUAUUAUUGGGGACCCUCUUUAAGACUUGAGUUGGGGAUCCUAGAAGCAAGGGAUAAUAAAUAUACUUUCAUAUUAAAAGGGUUACACUCCCUUGAAAGAAAACAGGGGACCUUAUUUUUACGCUGCAUAAUAAUAAACUGGGAUUUUUACAAAGAAUUCGCAUGACAGACUUUCAGACGCACUGAUCAGUUUCAACUCAAGAGAAUUUUUGCAACACAAAGGUGAUGCUUAUGCAUCUACACUCCUAGACAGAUUGUCUGCACAAACUGAACCAGGGACCUCUGAAUUUUAAUGAGUUUCUUUUUCCAGGGCACCAAGCUACAUACAUCUUCUUCCAAUUUCUUCUUAGAAGACAUUUUUCCAACCAAAGGCUUAUCUUACAUUAGAUGCCUCCUGCUGGAAGGCAUUACAGAAGCUGCUGUGUGUGAACACACCUGUAUGGCUUCUGGUGGCUCCACUCUACUGUUUGCUGGCUGCCACAAGCACAGGCCUCCUGACAGCUGCCAGAUGGUGGCAGAAGUUAUAUGAUGUUACUCUUUUGGGAGAAAGAAAAGGUUCUUCUGCCACAGGGGAGCUGUGAAUUUAGAUACACUCACUGCUGGCAAAUCUACAAAGUAGCAGAGUCUUUUAUUUCUGCUCUUUCCUCCAGAACUAUCAACCCUAACUCACUUUCCCUGUUUCUGACAACAGCAAAAUAACAAGCCACAAUACAACAGACUUUAUCACCUUUAUGUGUUAUACCAUUCUCCCUCUGUUUCCUCUUUCAUCUGCUUACUGUUAUCUGUUGAAUGUGUUUGUCUAAUUUAGAUGGUAAUUCCUCAGAGCAAGCACUGUUUCUUUACAUUUCUUCAUGAUAUUCUCUGGUACAUAUAAUCAGUAAAGUUAUCAUCUAAAGAAUAGGUUAUUAAUUUACUGCAGUAACUAGAUCCACAGGAUUAACCAGUAAGUUUGCAAAAAAGUAUUUUUGAAGGUUGAAGGGAGGAGUUAAUACCGUUUCAAAUAGUCCCUGAACUAGUUAAUAAAAAUAAGUGAGGCUGUGAGAAAGCUGAACAUGUAAAAUGAAGCUGUUCCUGAGAUAUGAAUAGAGAAAAGGAAACUUUUUACAAGUCAGAAGCUUGUUACACUUUCAGUGCUCUAUUGCUCCCAAAUAGCCUGACUGAUAAUGAGUUUGCUUCUGAGUAACUGAAUUUCUCUUUUUAACUUAGUUUAAGCACAAUCAUUUUUAUGCUAUAAAAGGAUAAAUGUAGAGGGGUCUUGUGUUUAGAGUGCUGAGUUGGGACUUAAGAAUCUUUGGUUAAGUUUCUUUUUUGCCACAGGCUCCUUGUGUGACCUUUAGUGAUUCACUGAGCACAGGGUUUUCAAAAAACUUAAGAGCACCAGCUCCAUGUGUUCCUAAAUUUUUAGGUGCUUUUAAAAAUCCUUUAUGCCUAAAUUCUCAUCUGUAAAAUGGAGCUAAUAGCACUAACCUGGACUAUGGGGGUGAUGCAAGGAUAAAUGCAUCAAUAUCUGUGUGGUUCCAAAGAGUACAGUGAUGCAUUCCAUAGCUGUAUGGAUAGCUACACUAGGAAGGUCACAAAUAAGCUUUCUGUAUGAUGGAAAGCUGGUUGUAACCUUAGCUAUAGGACCAUAACAAUGAACUUAGAGUAUGCAAUACGAAGACUGGUAUUCUUUAAAGUCUUAAACAAAGAACACAAUAUGUGAUUAUAUGUGAAACUAUCUGCAUUCUUUGUACACAAUAGAACAUCUUACAUUGUGGAAAAUAAAGAUUA